GACGAACGCUGGCGGCGUGCCUAAUACGUGCAAGUCGAACGCAUUUUCUUUCACCGUAGCUUGCUACACCGAAAGAAAAUGAGUGGCGAACGGGUGAGUAACACGUGGGUAACCUGCCCAUCAGCGGGGGAUAACACUUGGAAACAGGUGCUAAUACCGCAUAAUUCCAUUUACUGCAUGGUAGAUGGAUGAAAGGCGCUUUUGCGUCACUGAUGGAUGGACCCGCGGUGCAUUAGCUAGUUGGUGGGGUAACGGCCUACCAAGGCUGCGAUGCAUAGCCGACCUGAGAGGGUGAUCGGCCACACUGGGACUGAGACACGGCCCAGACUCCUACGGGAGGCAGCAGUAGGGAAUCUUCGGCAAUGGACGCAAGUCUGACCGAGCAACGCCGCGUGAGUGAAGAAGGUUUUCGGAUCGUAAAACUCUGUUGUUAGAAAAGAACAAGGAUGAGAGUGGAAAGUUCAUCCCUUGACGGUAUCUAACCAGAAAGCCACGGCUAACUACGUG
rnacentral:rRNA from 1 species